rnacentral:rRNA from 1 species
UACGGAGGUGGCAAGCGUUGCUCGGAAUCACUGGGCGUAAAGGGCGCGUAGGCGGGGAGGUAAGUCGGGUGUGAAAUCCCCUCGGCCCAACUGAGGAACUGCGCCCGAGACUGCUUCUCUUGAGUCCCGGAGAGGAAGAUGGAAUUCCCGGUGUAGCGGUGAAAUGUGUAGAGAUCGGGAGGAACACCGGUGGCGAAGGCGGUCUUCUGGACGGUGACUGACGCUGAGCGCGAAGCGUGG